GUCGCUGGUUUCGAAGUACGCGUAAAGUAUACGGGACACAACGGUGCGAAAUAACGAGCAGUAAACACGCUCGUUUACGUCAUCCGAAUGGAUACGAAACCUGUGUUUGCGCGCACAUAUUGCGCGUCUCAUCGCCCAUCGCGACCGAGUAUUGAUAUCACAGUGCUGAAUUACGUCUUACGAAUCUCACGCGUCGUGCCAUCGUCUUCGAUCGAAUAUUCGAAAUAUACAAUAUCGUGCAAUAUCGGUGUAACUUUUUAACGCGAGAUGUUCUACCGUGAAGUGUUCAAGGAUGGGUGAAUCGCAUUUAUCGCGUGUUUCAAAGAAAACGUGUGUUAUCGCGUGGUAUUUCCAUUUCUGAGGAUACGCUCGAUUCGAGUAACUGACCAAAGAAGUCCCUUGGGCGAGGCCAAUUAUAUAGACAAGAUUAAACUAACGUUGGUCUCUGGUGAAUUCUAAACGACUUACUUGAUUUACACCCGUAAAAUCUCUCUCUCUCUCUUCCUAUAGAGAAGAUCUUACGCGAUGGAUUUCAUCUCGGCGUACCAUCGUACACGUGGAAAGAGGAAUCCAUAUUUCAAUCAUGAUUAGCACAUAUUCGCGUGACCUCCGGACGAAAAAUAAAACAACUCGAUAAACAACUCGCGUCUCCGUGUCUCAACGUUCUCAUCUUUCCUCUAUCCGUUUUUGUGGCGUUGACAGUGAGGCAAGUUUUGUGACAAGAUCAUCGGUGCACGGACGAUACGGAUCGAGUGAAAAAUAUUUGCUUGGUGUCGCGAACUUUUCGUGGGAGAGGAGGAAGGGAGAAUCCACUUCGAUCGAACGUCAAAUCGUAAAUGGAUCAAUUAACAAUGCCGACAUGGUGGAAUGGAGAGGGGGAGUGGGAGGGCAGAGAGGAGGAAUGGUGCGAGCGCGAAAUCGAGUUUCGGGUCGUGGGAGAACAAUCACCGUCUGUCGGUUAGUUUUUCUGCCCGUCACUCUGCAUGGAAGAAAGGAGAGGGGGAAAGGGAGAGGGGAGGGUGGGUGGAAACGUUCGAUUGGAAAAUUUUCCGUACGGAGUAAUAGCGGCGCCGCUACGUUUCGUUAAUUUGGAAAGUCGAGGAAUAGAGAGGGAGAGACAUAGAAGAGUUUUGCUACGUUGCGGGCCGGCACGGCGCUAAUGGCGGAACAAUGGGAGGGAAAAACAGCGGGAUAAAUAGAGAAACGCGCGAGGCUCCCUCCGGUCGACAGAAACUCGAAUAAAUCGAAAAUCGGCGGAGACUUCUUUCCGGUUGGCCGAUUAAUUCGCGUUCCGGUUCGAUUCCUGGAAAAUGUAGCCAUCGUCGAACUAUCAAUAAAUCAACAGUCUCGAACGUCGAUGUCGUCCCGGCUCUAUAUAUAGAGACGUCCCGGGGAUUGACGUCUCAUUAAACGGUCGAAUCAUGGAAAUUCGUGGCGUAUGCGCGCGCGCGAUCAAACGACAAAAAGCGCAUUCCCGCGCCCAUUUCUCGCUACCCAUUGCUUGUAUAUUUAUUCAUCGCGCACGAUUCCCGCUAGAUCUAUACUCGAAAUAUAAGCAACAAGCGUAUUACCGGGAACGAUCACGUUCAUCGAAUCGAAUCGAUUCUAAAAACCGUUAGACAUUCGAUGCGAUCGAUCUUACGCCUCGCCAAUGUUGCACACAUCGUUUGAAUUGUCCAAGCGUCACGAACACGUAUCGAGUGUCGACCGAUCCAAAUUCAAUUAUCGACUCCUUGGAAAUAAUCUUAUCCAUCGAUCCACCGAUCCAAGUCGACGAGGAUAGAAACUAUUGUUCCUAUUCUGUUGGGAGGGGGUAACCGCGCGCAUUCCGAACAAAAUUCUCGUUCCAACUCGUUCGUGAACGCGAAUAUCUCGCGAAUGUAACGGGCAUAAUGAGCCAAAUGGCGUCCCCCGGAACGUUUCGCUCGUCUCACCAACCGCAAUUACGCGGUUCGCGUUCAGACUCGCGUUCGAGGAAACACCGCCAACGGCAGCUUAAUCAUGGAAAUGACGGAGCAUCGCGCUUUCGGAUCUAUUAGUAACUCCGGCAAAACGUCCGGAGGCGUGUCACUGAUAAACUCGUCAAAUCGAGGAGGACAACGCUCGACCGCCGCCCGUUAUCAACGAUCGUCGCACGUCGACGUUCCAAUUCGAUCUCCUCUUCCCAUUCCUUGCCAUUCAUUCUUGAUCGUCCUUUCCAAGUUGAAAAAGAAAAUGAAAAAUCCCUUCCUCGAAGACAAGACUUUCUUUGCUCUUUCUUUCGCGAUGAUAUCCCGCAGAUUAGAUUAAUAGAUAUUAAUUUUACAGACGUUGAUCAAAGGUGAGAGAUGAAAGGUGACGCCCACGAUACUGCGUAUUUGUGUAGAUUUUGUAAACGCAGGAAUUGUGUCAGUUUCAGAGAUGGUUCUUCGCCCAUUAUCGCGUUGGAUCAAUCCAUCACGAAAGCGUCUAGGCUGCAUCGGCAUAGGUGCAUGAUCGAACAUGGCAGCCCCUCGUCUCUCUCCGAGCGAAUUGUUAACAUGACGCGCGCGAGUAGUAUUGCCAGCCGGCAUGCAGGGACGACGAUGUCUCGUUUCUCCCGAAUUUCCAACGGCGACGACGAGGAUGUCGUAAGAGUAUAUAAUCUUCCGCCUUGAGACGCUUGAGACUUUUCUCCGGAUUUCUCGUCGCAGAUGUUGCGCCGCGAAUGAUUUUUGCGCGGCGAGAAAAGGGGAGGGGAGAGGGUUGGAGGGAGCGUAGCCCGUUAAGGGGUGAGGGAGGGGUGGUUUUACGGAUAUUUCUGACGAUGCACACGUCAGGCCGUAGCCAAUGUCGCGUUUUUCAUUUUUCUCGAAUAUGCCGUGAAUAAAGCGCCACGCAGGGGAAUACGUUGUUUCAGCCGGCGAAACGAAGAGAUUGAAGUCGCGCGCGCCUUAGAUCCUACGACAGAAAUCCGGCCGGAAAAAAGGCUUGGCGAAAAUUCUUUCCCCGUUUUCCCCUCCAUCCUCCCCUAUCCGAAAUUGAAAUACCAUCGGGAGCGUUAUUAACGCGGGACGCGUGUAAUCGUUCGUCUGAUCGUGGCGAAACGAUCCUUUCUUCGCGUCGAGGAUAACGUUCUUAGAUUGGAAUCGUUUCGCGCGUGUGAUAAAAAGAUUCGAUAGAUAGGGAAGAUUCGUUCCUUCCCUCGAAGAGAAGAGAAACAAAGAAGGAUCGUCUUUCGAUGGGAAAUUUCCGUUCGGUAUUUUAUUCCGUAUCGUACGUUUUUUUUUAUUUUUUCUUUUUUCGUCGAGUGAUAUAAUAAACAGUGGAUAUUGAUUAUUCCGUAAUGCAAUAUACAAUUGUUGUUAAUAAUAUCGAAGAACAUAUUCAAUGUUUGGUGAAAUUAAUCAUAUUGCUGAUUGAAAUUGUAUAUAUUUCAAUUGGGUCUAAAUCCGCAAAUAAAAUUGUAUAAAUAAGAGAGUGAAAUUUAGCAACGGAUAGUUAUUUUCUAAUAACGAGGGGUCAUAAAUUCACCGAAAAUUCUACGUUCAAUGGAGUAUAAAAAAAAAAAAUAAAAUAAAAUAAAAAUAAAAAAAAGAAGAGUCGGAAUAAAUGAAUAAAUAAAUAAAAUGGAAUCAACGGAACAAUGGGUGAAUCAAGACUCGGUAAACAUGUUUUAAUUUCCUCGCAGUUUAAACGCGCGUGUAUCGUUACAACGAUUGUUUGCCUCGAAUCAAAUGAAUUCAAAGCCCCCUGCAGCCAUGAAACCAUGUCACCGGUGAUCUUCCCUCUUAAAAUUUUCCCACCCUACUGUCUAGAUUAAAUUUUUCAACCAUAUUCGAAAAUAGAAAGCUUCGAUAACGGGAAUGGGAAUAACGAAAUCCCAUUCCCUCAUUUUCCAUUAUACAACAUACGAUUGCCUCGCUUCAAGGAAUCAAAUUACGAUAUAAUUGCUACAUUCGCAAUCGGGUCGUCCACCUCGGGAGGCGCCAUAUUUGAGCAUAAUCGAACAGGAAUAGCACCCAGCCUAAUACGUUGGAAAUAUCUCGCCUCGAUCGAAUCGGAAAGGAAACGCGUGCGGUCUUGAAUUAGCUUAUAUCUCUGCCGCCGCGUAAAAUAAUACAAAGUAAAUCGAUUGAUAGGGAACGCGUUGCACGCGACUUGUCAGGCGGUCGAAUUUUCAGGGCGGGCGGUUAACCAAUUUCCAGGAUCGAGCGGAUGGAUACACUCGCGACUAUUCCCGAAUAUCGAUUUGAAACGACGAUCGAUCGACAAUCGCGACCCUUCUCCUUUUGCAGCGAGGGAAGAGGAGAGACGCGGCGAAGCGGAGAAGAGAAAGAGAAAGAGAAUAACAAACAUACACGCGCGCGCGUAAUUAAAUGGCCGGAGCUGAUUCUCCUUUUUUUUUUUUUCGUUUCUCCGCUUAUUUCUUUUUCCUCGCGUUUUAUUUGUCCACCCACCCACUUUGUCCUUCCGCUCGGGCGCCCCUUUUUUUCGCCGGCCAGUCACGUCGCCGUGGCGGAAACGCAUUAUGGGCGCAGAGAGUAAUUGCGAGGCGGGCAGAUCGUGCCCGCGGAUAAUUCGGUCAAUUUGGAUUUUUCUUUUUCUCUCUCUCUUCAACAGUGUCAUGCAAAUGGGCGGACGGAAGGGAGGCCAUUUAAUAAACACACGGGAUACACACGCGACGCAUGACAAAUUGAUUCGAUCGGCGGUGGACGGAGAACGAACGAAGCGAAUCAGAACGUUGCGGGCGGUUGUAGGCGGAGGAGGCGAAGUAGGUGCAGAUAAAAAAUAGUAAUUCGCUGGACGGAUGCAUCGCGUGCCACGAUUCGAAACGCGUAUUCCUCGACGACGCGUCGUGAAACGGCUCGCCGUUUAUCGAGCAAGAUAUUUCGAGAGCUUUUUAUCACGAACGCCGUCAAAUUUUACUAAUGUUGAUAAAUCCUCGGACCACGCGCUCGUGGAAGAAGCCAUCCUGCUUCGAGACGAGAGGAAGGCGCUUUCCUCGGAACCGAUAACGCGCGCGGAAUAUCGAUCCGUUCAAUCGAUACGAUGUUCCCCGACAAUCCGCUCAACUGAGUUACGACACGCGCGGUCCUACUACUACCUUGUUUUGCUUAACAACGUUUACCGCGUUAUAACCCGAAUAUAACGACUACUAAAUACACUCUUCCGCUUAUACGUGCGCGCCAUCCUGUCCACUAAUAGUUUCCAACUUUACUACCUUCCACGCGUUGUUAAUAUUUAAGGGAUAGUUACCCCAUUGCCGGGCGAAUCGAGCGAAUCAAGAUUGAGGAGGGGAGGGAGGGGGGAAGAGAGGAAGAAGAAGGGUUUUUAUUCGCCUAAGGGUAGUCGAGGGAAAGCGGUGAACGCUUGAAAUCUUGAUUUUCGUUGUAUUUCGUUUUUUUCUUUCUUUUCCUUUCUUUCCCGUGUAGGCAAUUUAAAUCAAUUUUAAACAUCAACGGUAAAUGGAGGCCCUUUCUCUUCGCUUCGUUUCUCCUCAAAUAUUUAACUUUGAUAUUAUCUUCGGCUUAGCCUUAUAAUUUCCUUCGCGUUCGCGUGGCUGACAACGGCGGUACGCACGUAUUAUUACUCGGAAACGUGGUUAAAGUUUCGUCGAUAAGUGAGACGAGAGCGAAAAGGGAAAAAGAAAAAAAGAAAGUGGUUGGAGAAACAAAUAAAUACAACGUAUAAUGUUUGCUCGCGGUGAAUUCGUAAUUAACGAAAUAUCAUCGCGUAUACGUGAUGAAGAAUCGGAAAAGGUGUGCGGCAAAGUAAAUACGAAAGCUUAAAUUACCGCGUCACCGAUUAACGUGCGUAUCGAUUAAUAUAAUAUGCAUUAUAUUAAUAAUCCAAUUCCAAACAAAUCGAGAAACCACGGAUCGAUAAAUCCGUGAUUACGAUUUAAAACCUACUCCCCCCCUGCACACGCGUAUCGAUCUCGAAAUAUAAAGUCGUAUGAUUGUCGCCAUGCCGUUGCACGCGGUCCCUCGAUUAACCCUCUAAUCGCCUUUCUCCGACUCGUCCGUAACGCGAAUCGGCGAUAACCCGUUCUUAUCGCGUGGUUCGACCUUCGAAAAUGUGUCGCGUGUCACUUUCCUUCUCGACGAGCGAAACACGUGAGAGGUUUCGCUAUGAUAAUCGCGCAACACGUCACGUGCGUGACAACACCGACCGCCUCUCUGACUCACCCCUCCACCCUCGCUCGCUCUCACCCCUCCCCUGCCUCCUCGUUCCGUCUGGGACGAGAGCCACCACCAUCUACGCGGAGGCGUAAGUGAUUACACCCGGUCUCGCGUUCGGUGUCCGCAAACUCGCCUCCUUCUGUCGGCCUCCAUUAUCCAACGUGUACACACGUUGUGGAUAAUGAGUCAUAACGGGGGGAUGCGUGCCCGGCGAGAACGGGGGAUGCCGGAUCCAUUUCGUAGGAAUUCGUAGUUAGCUACGAACGAAAUACGGAAUCGAAAGAAAAGGCGAGUGAUAUCUCGAGCAAACACCGCUCGAUGGGGGUUUGUUGGGAGAUAGAGCGAAAAUUAGAAAUUUUCGAAAGGAAUUGUUAUUACGUGCGUGGUAUGAAUGGAGAAAGAAUCGUGGAAAGUUUCUGAAAAGAAAAAAAAAGGAAAAUUAUCGUUCGUAAAAAAAUUAAUAGGCACGAGCUCGUUCCUUUUUGUUUCGUUGAUCGCGUGUAAUAAAAUAUCGCGUGGAUCAACGAUCGAAUUCAACUGAUUUUGUAAUACGUUCGCCCAGCUAAUCAGAGGCUAUAGCUUUUAAACGCCGUUUCCCGUGCUAUUUGCCCCGGGUUAUUAAUUUGGAUUAUAAACCGAAUGCUUUCGAAAAUCCGCAAAAUGUAAUUUCGAACGUGCUCGCGUUCGACGUUGAUGCUUUUUCGGAUCACGAGAUUCCAUCGGAACGUUUCCAUUAAUUAACGGGGCUAACUAGACAUCAACCGAGAUCAAGGUUGAAAAAAAUAGAAAAAUAAAUAAAUAAAUAAAAAAAUGUAAAACGAAAUUAAUACGAAUACUCGACGCAACCCUCUCGUAACGAUCCCGCAUUUUUCUACCUUUUUUUUUCCUUUUCUUUUUUUUCUCUUUUUUCUUUUUUUUUUGCGCCGAUAGUUUUUUUCACCCUCGUCGAGCUUUUAACGAUCGGGAGUAGCGUAAUUAUUGGUCGGUCUUUUUGCCGAAACUUCGUGUACGAGACUCUCUCGACGAAUUAACGUCGGGCGCGGUGGCGACGAAAUCGUGACUCACGCCGAGGGUGAGUGUUCCUCAUCGAACGCUGUAUUUUUGCCCGCCGCUUGUAUUAACGAUACUCUCUACUCCAUGGUUGAGUCAUUCAACCGCAUCGGCCACGCGAAAACAAGCGUGGAACGAUGACAACGGAUCGAACAAUGAGCGUAUUUCGCGAUUCGAAAGUUGGAACGGAACGCUUUGUAUUCACGUGCAAACGCGCGUGUACGAAGUUUGUACGAAAAUGGAGCGUAAAAAAAGCUGAAACGCGACGCGCCAUUUUCCCCUGGUGGUUUUAGGUCACCAGCCGGAAUUCUGAUUAUUCAAACUAACGGAAAUUUAUAAUAUACGAAAGAACGAUCGUAUUGCUCAAAUUACGAAUGACGAAUAUUCUCGCGAAUAUAACGCGACGGGGUAGUAGUAUUUUUCUUCCUUUUUUUUCUUUUCUCUCUCUCUCUCUCCUCAGAGAGAAGAGAAUUCUCCUUCCUUCGUUUCCUCUCCGUUCAGAAGCGACACGUUAAUAAACCGGCCACUAAUUUUGCAUCUCCAUUUGCUUAAAUUACAAACCGUUAAUUUUCCAAUUUAAUUUUCAUUUAUUUCAACUACACUUCAUCGCUCGCCAAUCAGUAUAUUACUCCGCAUUUUAUUUCCAUUAUUAAAAUCCUCCCGGGAAGGGAUUUUUGUUGUACGAGCCAAUCGAUAAAUUUAUAACGAUAUAUAACCGUUUCGAUAUAUCUAAUUGUUUCGAAUUAACUUUGGGACAAAUUUUCGCGAAAGAAGUUUUAAUCUCGAAAAAAAAAAAGAAAGAAAGGAAUAAUAAUCUCUCCGUGAAAUCGCAUGCGAUCCAAUUGCAAAGCGGAUAGGCCGAUGUAGGUUUAAUUACCAUCCACCACGAUGUUCCGCAUGGCUCGAGCCCGGUUUAAAUCGAACAAAGCUAAAAUGGAUAAUGAGGGUAAUUAAACGAAUUCAACUGGUCCCGUCUGUUGGUCGUUCUUCCUUGAACGAACCGCGAGGGUUCCAAUGCCCGAGUAAAGCUUCGAAGGAACGAAGUUUCUCGUUUCUUCUUCAUCUCUCUCUCUCUCUCCUCGUCACUCUGCCUCCGCUGUUUUUUUCCAGACUUGCUUUUUUUUUUCGCUUGACGCCCGUGACUCCUCGUCUCCUUCCUCCGGUUCGAGGACUCAUUACACGGCGUCUUCGAUAAUUAAUCCAUCUUAGUCGAAGCCGUGUUCUCACGUUCAUCGUUCGAGGUUAAGCGAAAGGAAGAGAGAGAGAAAGAGACAGAGAGAGAGAGAGAGAGAGUGAGGGGAAAAAAAGGAAAAAAGGGAGGGAGGGAAAAAAAGGACAAAUAAUCUAACGAAGCAAUUUAACUUCUUAAUUGACACGGUAUAGAGGUGAUUAAAUAUACACGCAUUGUAUCAAAGUUAAAGCAUAAAGUGUCCGGGAUCUUUCAAUUUCCCUACAAAAUUUCCAUGAAAGACGAGAUCGAACGAAACACGCCUCUUACGCAGAUACGAUAUUUACAUAUAUUUAUACAUCUUUCCUUCUCCCUCAUUCCUGCUACCUCAUUCGCGUCGAUAUCAUUUAAACAGAUCCACCCUUUCUCCCUUCCCCGCAAAUCCAACCCCUCGAUAGCUUUCCCCGAUGCUCGUUUACCUUCACUCGUCGCUAGUCGUCCAAUUUUCCUCCUCCACCUCGACGAUCGACGUUUUUUCAAAACGACAUCGAAAUUACACCUCUCCCUCUCCCCUCCUUCCUUCGUAUGGAUCGGGUUUGAAUUUCAAUCCGCCGUCACGUGGCGCGGGGAGAGAUUAAUAGUCGUCGAGAAUUAGAACCACCUCGAGAUUCUUGAACCCGCUGGAAAAAUGUUCGCGUUGCUUGUCAACGUUUGAACGUUGUGUCGUUAACGUUCACGUCGUAUUCCUUAUUUCCAACGAAAACUAUUUCGAGAACUAUUAGCAACGAAUAAAUAGCAACUAUCAACUCGUACAAAAGAAAAAAACGUAACGAUCGUUUAUCGUUCGAUCAAUCGAGACUGUAACGAUUAAUUAAAUAUCCAGAGAGAACGACGACAAACGCGCGAGUAAUUGUAAUUUUGAUUUAAUACCCCGUAACAUUUUCACCCCGCCUUCUCGUUACGUUUAACGAGUCACCGCGUGGUGCUCGCCAACCCAUUUCCACGCGCAUCAUCAAUAGCCAAGAAUAAUCGAGACGGAGAAGACACUGUGCGGAUAGAAUAGGCGUGAAAAAGCGGGAGGGGAGAGGAGGCAGGCGCGAAGGUGAAAAAUUGAAGCGGGAGGCUCGGCCAAUUAGACGGAACCGAUCGUCGGGUAAACCGAGGCACGCGGCUCGAGCCGAAUCGGAGCAACGUCGAGCGACCACCUCAUCAGGUUGAUCCUGUUGGACAACUUUCCAGUUAAUCUUCGACGACGACGAGCUCUAUCCAUCUAAAACCAGCCUGGUAUCGAGAAGGUAUUCCGUCCCUCGUAACAACACGGGGACGAAACGACACCAUUCCCCUCCCCGUGUUUUUCAAACUCUUGUUUCAACCCGCGAAGGGAAAACUUCGAUGCGAAUCGAAUCUCGCGGUCUUAUAUUUAUAUUUAUUCGAUUUUAUUCCGUGGCAAGGGUUGAGCCGUUAAUUAGAGCGACGAUGAUUUAUCAUCGCGAGGCAUGGAUGCACUCGAAAUCACCAGAAAUAGGUUUCCUUUCGACAGCCGCGCUUUCCAUCCGCUCUUCCCCUCCCCGUCGCUCUUUUCCUCUCCCUGUCCACCAUCCUGGUCUGCCUAUUCCAUCGUUGAUCAGCCCGAUGAAUAAUUUCCGAGUUGGCCGUGUCGCGCGAGCUACACACGCGCGCGGAUGUAUAGAUUGGAGGGAUACUAGGAUCCACUCGCGAAACCACGAGCGGGAGCCACCUUAUCGAGUUGGCCGAAGCUGACCGGCCAGCGAUUCUCCCCCUCCCUCUCCUCCCCAGGUGCGGGAACCGAGUUAUCGUUACACCUGAGACGUAAGUUAGCUCGUUGCCGGUACGCCGCCGCGAGAAUUAAGCAAAUUAUAUUGCGGCCGGGACAGACGCGGUUGGAUAGUUUGGAGGUGGUGGUUAUAUAGGGAACUGUACGGAGGCGAGUGCGGAGAGGGUGAGGGGCGAGAGGAGAAAGAGAGAGAGAGAGAGAGAGAGCGAAAAGCCGGGGUAUACGAUUCCGUAAAUCGAUAAUUGAUAUCGAACGUAGUCAGGGAACGUAGCAGCUUCGAGUUGGCUUCUAUCGCGGUCGGAUUAAUGGAGGGGAGAAGAGGAGAAGGGGAGUUUAACGUAGGCGCGAUGCCUCGGUAACGAUAAUUACGCAAAUAUUUUCGAAUUAUCGCUCGAAUUAUUUCCCUCUGACCCGCCGUUUAAUAACAGCGCCGACGAGACACCGGGGAUGGGAUAAAUUAAUCCCGACGCGUAUCCUUUCCGACAUCGACACCGUAAUCGACGAAAUGACAAAUACGGUUCUGGAUACCUGGCCCCCUGUCGACGAGAUGUCGAAGGAUAGGAUGUAGGGCGGAAGACGUAGACACGUACCGUACGUGAAAUAAUGGGUGGAGCGAUAAUAUCGGGGGAAGAGCGUUCGACGAGCUGGAUCUUUCAACUUGUUUUUCAAACGGGAAACGCGACCGGCUCCUACAUUCGCCACCGUUUGUUCCACGGAGAUGUGUAUUCACGGGAUCCAGGCCCCUGUUUCCUUUCCGUGUUUCGAUUCGCUUCACGUCUUUCGCGGCGCGGCGUUGCGACACGGAACGCUGGGACAAUAAAACGUGGGACGACGACAGUCACCGUCUUCGGAGAACGAAAAAAGGCGGAUAAAUAUACAGAGUGUAUAAAAUAGGCCGCGUCGGUAGUAGCGCGUCGCCACCAGGAGGCGCAUUAAGGGAGGGAAAAAAGGAAAGAAAAGAGGGGAAAGAAUGAAAGAAAGGAAGAAAAGAAGGGAAGAAAGGAGGAAAGGAAGCGGAGAGAAGAGAAAAGAAGAAAGAAAAAAAGACGGGAGUACAGAAGGGAGGUGGGAGGAUGGGAAUGGGGGAGGGCGAGCGGUGAUGGUGGAUGGCGUAGAACUGACAGGACCGGCACUCUGUAUGGAGCCGGGGCUCACCCUGUUGGACCAUUACCCUUUUUAUUAUUUUCUGACUAAAACAAAGGGAGCCCUUUUGCCCGGCCCGGUUAGUUGACCGACUUGCACCAGAAAACUUGAGCCUCGAGAUUAAUUGCGUCCUCUCCCUUCUUCUUUUCGCUUUCUCGCUCCUUCUACCUUCUAUUCCUCCCUUCUAUUUCGUCGCGCCCUUGCCCCUUCCCCUGCUCAGGGAUCCCACUUCUCUCGAUCCUUCUCGCCUUCUCUCUUACCGACCAAAGUCCUUGAGAAAGUUGGCGACUCGAGUCGACUCGAGUCGAGUCGAGGGGACGGAAGAGCGAGAAAGCGAGAGGAUGGAAGAGGAAAAAGGAUCGAGUGGAGAAUGCCGAAGGGGGGAGGGAAAGGGGUGAAAAUCCCUAGUCGUUCCGGAUGGAGUUUCGAGCGGAUGGAACGCUUCGAUUUUAUCAACGAAUCCAACCGAGGACGAAUCCGCGAUGGUUUAUCGUUUCUCGUUCUUCGAUCCUUUUUCUUUUUCUUUUUUUUCUUUUCUUCUUUUUCUUCUCGAUCGUCGCACCGUCACCUAUUUACGACGCGCCACGCGCCCUCGUCGACAUCCCGCCCUCCCCCUCGAUCGGCUUAAAAAUCAUUAUCGCGAGACGAUCUCGUGGGAAGGGAGGGCUCGAGAAACGAGAGGUAAAUAUUUGGACGGAUUUAAUCGCGGGUCGUUUAAAAGCCAGAGGCGCGAGCCACCCGUUCAUCGAGCUUGUUUGUCGAGUGAAACCUCAGAAGGCGAUAAAAUCGAUCGGCGUCCCCUUCCCUUUAUUCCUCGCUCGACUCUCGACGAAACUACGAAGGAUUCACGCGAAAUCAAAAUCCUCGCGAUGAAAAAGUCAAGCAUCCACGCUUUUUCAUGUUUCGCGCAUUGCGAGAAGAUCGAUAGAGAUCGUGGAGUGCGCGCCACGGCAAUUUAUUUCACUUUGUAUUUCAAAGUGUAAUAAACAGCACGGCCCGCUCGCAUACGCCCACGUACGCCCACCCUGGAUAAAGUCGUUUCCACCCCGACCUUCGAGUAUUUUAUUCUCCCAGUUUCCUCGUUUUCAUUUCGCGCUCAGCCACAUUUGAUACGUACCACGUAGUAGUUGACGGUUCCAUUAUUACGCUUCCUACCAUUCUCUUCCCCCUUCCCUCCCAUUUCUUCUCCCACCCUCUAUCUCAUUUUUUCCAUUCACCGUUACGGAGAGAGAGGGAGAGGGGAGAGAGAAUAUCUUUUUUCGCGCAUCGUUUAACGGUAACAGCGACUACGACGCGCUAAGAGAAUUCUUUUAACGCAAUCGCCUCUUCCCCCCCUCCUCUCUCGUAAAAACAAUUCCAAGCUUUAUCGAGAUGCCAUUAGAAUUUCUCUCUCUCUGUCGAUCGCGCAUAUCGACGCGUCGUAAUAUCGUGCAUCGCGAAAGUCGCGCGAAAGAGAAAUCCUGGAGGUUCGCUCCUCGGGCCAAUAAUUUUCGACCGAGAGAAAUUCCUCUUCUCUCGAAGAUAAGAUGGAAUAAGUGGAAUGAGUUGGGGGUGGGUUGAAGAUGGGACGGAAAGACGAAGGGCACAGGGCGUGGGGCAUUGCUGGUUACAGAAGAAGAAGCGCAUCGAGCGUGGAAAAGAGUUGGUGAAGAGUUCACUCGCGAAACUGGUUGGUCUGGCGCUCGAGAAUUCAUUUCCUGCAGUUGUCGUUCGACGUUACGGCGAGAAAACGUUCCGUGGAUGGCGAUGGCCUCGGCGAGGGUCUGGGGGAAUUAUUUUCGGGCUCGGGUUAUUCAAGAGCGCGGAGGAAACAAGACGAAAGGGGGAGGAGGAGGAGGAGGAGGAGGAGGAUGGGGAGGUCGCGGAAACGAAAGUAACGAGCUUCCGCGGCAAAUUUUUUCUGCCAGCCUGUCACAGAGAAACCGUCUACGCUGCGAUUUCGUCGUGGUGGCACGCGACCACGCUCAAUCGUUUUCUCGCGCGCCCUUUUCAAACUCUACGUAUCAAAGCGGUGCCUUCCCUUCGGCGAGUGUUAAUUUCAUUCCCUUGAACACGCGUUCUUUCCUUUCUCUCUCCCUCUCUCUCUCUCUCUUCUUUCCUUGUUGCGUGAAUUCGAGAUCGCGUUCCCCGCGACUCGUGGAAUUUUCAAUUUGAAGAGAAUCGCAUUGCGCAUACUUUACGAUACGAUGCUUUUGAUUGACGGAUUAGUGGCUGCGCCGUGAAAGGGAGGAAGUAGAAAAGAUGAGGGAAAGGUAAAAAAAAAAGGGAUGAUCGUUCGAAGAGAAAUGAAUUUCCUCUUUCGACAUUAAUUCUUUCCUACUGAGCAAGGAUUGUACAAGUAUGAUUCGACGAGCAAGCUAGUCGAUCGAAGGUAAGAAAUGUGUAUAAUAAACGUGUUAUUAAGAGGAUAUCUUUCAGGCACAUUCUCGAUUGUUGGAACGAAGGUUGGAACAAAGUUCGAAGGCUAAGUCAACUUGACGAAUUUCUGACACGAGCUAAACUGCCGUUGACGGUAGCUGAACACUAAGAGCACCGCUUUCCGAGAGAGAGAUGAAUAUUAGACUAUUUAAAGGGGAAAGUAUACCUCGAGCGACCGGCUGCUAAGUGAACGAGACAGACUUUAGGCACGGAUUUCAAGCCUUCAAAAUAGAAACUAAGCCGAUGAAGCUAUGCUGCUAUUUAGAAGCGAGCAACCGAGAAAAAAAAAAGCAAAAACGUCAUGCGUUCGAGGAAAUGAUAGACGCAAGAUAAAAUUAUCCAUUAAUUUCUCUUCUUAGAGUUAAGAAAAUGUGCAAUUAAAAAUGUUUUAAAAAAACGUACGAUCGCAAAAAACUAGGAAGCCUCGUGUAUUUUUUUAACGAUUUAAAAUCAUAUCUUGUUAUUAAUCUUGGAUGCCACAAAGGAGACGAUGAAAACUUGGAACGAUAGGAUAUUUUAACCAGUAGAAGUACACAGUUGGGCAUUAAUUCGUUGAAAAAGUAAUUAAUCAUUAAAAUAAUAUUUAUUCGUGGCUAUUAAACGAUAAAUUAUUGCAGCAAUUUAUUGAAAAAUAAGUUUAAUUCGUAAGUUCAAAUUUGAAGCCAACAUCGCUGACAAUGGCGAAGAAAAAAAGAUAUCGAUAUAUCAAGUCGAAAGAUCUGGCUCGAUGGUAGAUACGAGGGUAAUAAAAGUACUAAUAAAGCUAAUAGUGUAACCAGCGUUUCAGCUCUGUUUCGCUCGAUCGUACUGGAACUGGAGGGCAACGGUCGAUGCAAAAACUGGCACGAAACAGCUUGCUCUUCAUGGCACAGGCACUUGCCAGCAGGGCUGCGCAUUCAUUCUCGUGUGGCCGGACAUCUACUAGAUGUUCCGUUAAAAUAUCAAGCAGUUCCCGGCUGCAAUAUUGCGCCGUUAUUUUCACGCGAGUAUAAUAUUUCGUUGACGUUUUCUCGCUGCUUUCCACUACAAAAGCCCUCCUCCUCCACCUCCUCUUCCCUCCCUCGCCAAGGAUUUCCUUUUCCACGCCUCCAACUCGACCUCUCUGAGAUCCCUUCCAAAUAAUAUUAUCCGUGUAUGGACGAAAGAUUAAAGGUAUCAUAGAGAAUGAAUUUCUUCCCUUCGUAGAUAGAAAAUAGAAAGGAAUCGAAAAGUCGAAUUUACGAAAGCCGCGAGUGCAGAAAAAUAUAUAAUAUAAAUAUAUAUAUAUAUAUAUGUAUGUAGGCGUUAUACGAGGAAACGAAGGUUCUCGUGGAGAGAAAUGGAAGCGAAAAAUCGGUAUCAAAGGCGGCUCAUCGCGCCGAUUCCGUUUUCCGUUCAUUUGUUCCACUUUUCUCUUCCUCUCUUUCUCACUCAUUCUCUCAAUCUCCAUUCUGCUUGGCAGCUGAAACGAAAUAAAACGCGAGAGGUUCGAAGAGGGAGGGGGGAGGCGGAGGGGGUGGUUAAAAUUUAAACCGGUGUUCCGGAUCGCGGCGAGAGGCCGACGAAUUCAUUUGCACGAGGCGCCUACUAGUUGCAUCGUUGAAAUAUUAAACUGGCCUCCGUGUCGAUGGGGGAAAUAAUAUCGUGCUUAUAUUUCACCCUGUGUGUCUACGAGCCUCGCUCCGCUGACGUUUACGCGAUACGUCAUUUAUACGACCUAGAAUUUCGGUAAAAUAAAAUAAACGGGAGAAAGGAGAGAGAGAGAGAGAGAGAGAGGGCUAAAAUAAAGAGGUAAAGUGGAAAAAAAAGACAGAAGGGAGAGAGAGAAAAUGGGCAAAUUUAUGUAGAAGCGGAGGGUUUAAUGUAAAUAAAUCGAAUACGGGUGAAAGGUGAAGGCUCGUGAGCCACGCUCGCAACGAAUGGUUGUCGCGUAUUCAUUUUCAUGAAAGCGGAUGUCUAGCGGGUUUGCCGGCCCGUUAAAAUUUCUGCCCGCCUUCUCUCUAUACCCUGUUCGCGCUAACUUACUUUCAAAGGUAGCACCGAGCUAACCGUGUCAUCAAACUUUCCCGCUUUUUCAUUUCGCCCUUCCCUUUCCCUCUCCCUUCUCCCUCUCCCCCCCUCUAUUUAUCGCGACCGCUUGAAAGUUGCACGGUGAAAUAUUUGCCACGGUAACAAAGAGUAAUUGCUAGAUAAAGUCGCCGGCGCGAAAUUCCUAAUCAACGGGGAUAAAUCAAGGAGGGAAGGGCAUUAAACCCCGUUCCGGAAUUACUCCAACGUCCCUCUCCUUCCCGCCAAUUUAUUCCCGUCAAAUUACAAUAUCGUUUGCAAAUAGACCCGGGACGGGAGAAAACGCGUGAGUAUGAAACACGUUCGGGGAGAUGUGUAUCACGGACACAUACUUUAUUAACCUCGGAAAACGUGGACGGGCGCAUACGUUCGUCGCAUCGAGCGGCGCGGAAAAAGGAUUAAAAGGAGGAUACAAAUACGUAAUAAAUCUAUCGCGAGAACGCGGGGGAUUCGAUACAUCCGGCUCUGAUUAACCUGUCGUUAACGAACGAACAGUGUGGAAAGGGCGUAGGCCGAAAACAAAGUUCUUUGGCCCUGCGCGUGAAUAUUAAAAACGGAAAGGAAGGAUGCGAUGGCACGCGUGUGAAGGCUCGAAAAGCCGAGUUUCCUUUGAAACAGGAAAGAGAAGAGGAAAGGUGCAUGGCGGGAUGGUUGGCGGCAGCCAUUGGAUUCGAGGUCCAUAAAAAGCAUUAACACCGCGAGGGCGCUCGAAGAAGAAGAAGAAGCGUGUCCUUGCUUUCUUUAUUGGGAGCAGCUCCUUUUCAACCCGUCGAGUAGCGAGCGGGAGCGUUUUCUUUUGUAAAAUCCUGUACACCGCUUCGAUGGAACGUUUAAGAGCGGAGGGUACGAGCGUGGCACGAGAGAAGGGCGUCAUGUGGUCGUAAGUGGGUGGGGUGCGAGACACAGGGAAGAGAGAGAGAAAGAGGGAGAAGCCUGAAAAAAAGGGAAAAAAAAUGAAUGGUGAUGCACAGAUGCGACGGAUGCGACGACGUUUCUCAGCCAUAAGAUGGACUCCGUGCAGCGUCUGUGUGAACACGUGUGUCCGUUCCGUCCGAGCUUCUUCGAGAGUGCAUGCAUGGGUAGAGACAGUUAAAUGCGACUCCGAUCCGCAUCCGCGCGUAGGUAUCGUUUCAAGUUUGCAUAGGGAUAGGUCUGAGCGUGCACGCCUCGACCCUGAACUUUUAGCCGAACUGCUAUUUUUGGGCGGGGAAACGGUGUGGAGAAACGUCGGGAGGGAAACGGCGGAGAAUUAUGGCCUCGAGUGCGCUUUAGUCUAGCCAACCGUCGAACUUGUUCUUUUCGAAAUUGGCGUCGGCUGAAUAUAAACGGGCAUGAGUUAUUAAAGUCGACUGUGCGAUUUCCCUUCGUGGGAAAUAUUCGACGAGUGAUGGCGGACAAAUUGAAAUCGCAGCACCACGGGGAUGGGAUAUCGAGAGAAACGAGUCAACUCGGAUCGUCUCUCUUUGGCGACCGGACGUUUGUCUUCUUCUAAAGAUUAUUAAUGAAGAGUGAUCGAGUAAUCGAAUCUUCUCGCGAGAUUUAUCGUCAAAAGUGCAACUAAAUUUGCGAUGCUUGGCCAUUAAUUACAAUCGUCUAUUAAUUAAUGAUAAUGAUAAUUAAACGGUGCAACGACGGCGGUCGCCAAAGAGAGAAAGAUACUAUUAAUUAACGCAAACACGCGUAUCUGGAUAAACGAGUCGCGGACCUUUAUUCUUAUUACGAAGAUACCGAUAAUUGGACCCUAUUGAUGAUUACUCGAUGGAGACUACGGGCGAAGCAAAAACAACUCGUGAUUGAGAUACAUCGAACAAACUCGCGACAAAUCUAUCCUCGAUAAGAUAACGCCUCUUCGUUCCUUCCAUAUUUAAACCCACGAUUAUCGCGGAAUCCCUUAAUCAACUCGGUUUUGUCAUCAGAGAAUGGUUAAAAUGAACUACGACAAGAUAAAAUUAAAGAAAUUUGAAAUUUUUAUUACGAAAAUCGAAAUUUUUAGUAUGCAGAUUCAAAAGGUAUGAAAUCUCUGCUCAAUGAUUCAUCGGUGAUCUCAAAAAUAAUAUCGACGACGAACCAUCUUUCGCGUACGAUAAUUUCCAUGACGAAGAAAUCUAUUUCUAUUCCAUCGAUCAAUGACGUAAAUACUCCGAUCCUUCAAAAUCGUUAUCGUAUUAGAAAAAUGGAAUUAGACCACGGUGCCCGAACGGCGGCAGUGCUUUCAUCUUGUGUACGAUUAUUGGAAAAUUCGAAACGCGUGAUUUUUUACCGUUAAGGCGGUCUUGGAACAGCUCUUACUUUUCCGCCACACCCAACGCUUCAUUACAGCGUGUAAUUAAAAACCGGCAAGGGUAAAGUAGCUAACGCGUCGCUUCCUCAAUCAUGAUAAUAACCCGGCCAACAAAAGCUUGCAUUAUUUCGCCAUUAAACAGCCCGCGCAAUAUUCCGUCCGGUUAAAUGUCCGCGAAUUCUUUCCGCCCCGGCGAUAAUGUUUCUCGAUAAUUAAUCUUGGCGCCCUCCCAAAUUCCUUGGCCUCUCUAAUUUUUAACCAACAAUUCCCCGCGAUCACGUCACCCGCCCUUUCUCUCCUUUAUGGCGACUAAUUUGCCUGGAAACACCAGCCGAUGUGGGUACGUAGCCUUUCGAAAAAUUACUCUCUCCUGUUCUUAUUAAUAAUAAUAGCUCCGCGCAUCGAAAGAAAUAAUAAUAAUAAUUCGAGAAACGAUUUUGAAUAUAAUGGUAAGUGGCACAGAAAAAAGUUAAUCCAGACAAAUUUGUUUCGGACAAAUUCAUCGAGGAAAAUAAUUAGCUUACGAAUAUUACAGUUUGGCUCGAUUGGUUUUUCGUUCCGCCAUUUAGUUUCCAGCCAAUUAUCGGACAUUCGUAUUUUUCACCGAUAUCUAGAGAGAAAUUAGCCUGUCGCGCGACUGUCGACGACGAGAAGGAGAAGGAGAACGCAACAAGAACGUAACACCACAUAAAUUACCGGGCGCGGAGCAAAUUCAUUUCAAUACAAAGAACACACGUGUGUGUAACAGGGCGGCGAAAGCGGCCGUCGUGUCUCUAUUCGAGUGUGCCACGCGAAGCCAACAUCGCCGAUAAAUCGUCCAUCCUGAAUAAAUCAAUUUUUCCCGGCGGCUUCCGCUCAAUUGGGAACCAGUCCGUUUGCAUUGUUUAACAUGGAGCUCCUCGAUACUCGGCCGUAUCCAUCGUGCGCAGAUAUGGCCGGCUCCUUUACAGGCCCACGCCAGUUUCCAAUAUCGUGUGAAACCGCAGUUGCGUGAGAACCAUUGGUUACCGCUACGAAGCCAAUAUCCGGCCUUCGUAGUUUCGCCCUUCGUGGAAACUGGCCGAGAUUAAAAGUAGUUAGCAUUUAGAUAAGGGCAUUAAACGAGCCGACGACCCCCGGCGCGCGGGGUUGAAAACCCACUCUUCCCUCUCUCUCUCUCUGUCUCAUCGAUUCCUUCGUUUAUCGUCUCGGUGACGAGGACGCAAGAGCGUAGAAGAAAGAUUUUCGAGGGUAACGCGACACCGUCCCGCAGCUGCGUCCUGCUUUUCCACUACUUCGAGCGCCCACGUUUCUACCCCCACAAGAUUGGAAGCCCUUCGAGUCCUUGCUCUCUUGUUUAUCCUGGCACGCAACGCUUGAAAGAAUACGUGAUCGAUGAAACGGAGGAAUAUAGGAGGAUAUAGUCUUAAGGAUCUCUCUUUCUUCCUUAGAAGGGAAGAAAAAACGUGUUAAUUUCGAAACAACGAGAUCGGGUUACGCGUCGUUACGAAAUCGAUAUCCUUCCUCCUUCCUGUCAACCUGUUCACGAUUUCCUCGAAAGCAUUUCCGCGAAAGCGGAGCGGAAGGAUCCAUUUGAACGAGAGUGGCGAGGAGAUGCUUCGCAAGGUGGAAUCUCGCUGCAAGGGAACGCGUCCAAGGAAAGAUAGCGAGCUGGAAAGAUACGUGACGCGGAGUCCGCGCGAAGAAUGUUCAACUCGGUCCGAAUUACGUAACGCGAGUCGCUGCUAGCGACGUGAGUGAAUUUUAACGCAUACCUUUUCGCCCCAAGAGCGCCUUUUUUUUUUCCUUUCUCCCUCGAUCGAGGACGAAAUCAAAGCGAGGUAGAGGGAGGAGGGAGUUAACGUUCGCGGGAAACUUUUAACGAGUAGCUCGAGCAUCGAGGAGGACCGGGGAAUUCGAGCCGGUGGACUCUGGCUAACUUUUCGUCCAUUCUCGUUUCGAUUCUUCUGUGACGCGGCGCGCCAGAGUCUUUUCGCACGAGACGACGCGAAAACUUGUGUCGAGAAAAUUAUAUGCAAAUAGCACGUAGCUGGGGAGAGGUGAAACAGGAUCGACCCGAGGGCAGGUUAAAAAUUAAUAAGGCUCGGUGCGAUGACGCUGCUGGCUGCGAAGGAAGGGAAAGAUCUCGGGAUUGGGCGUGGAUAGAUUGGUGCAAUCUGCUAUUAUAGCGUGUUAACCGAGCACCAUAGGCGCCAUAAUCAAAUUGCACAUCGGCACGAAUUAAUAUUGACGUUGGUAACUGCGUUAUAUUGUCUGUGCGUGUUAACCGCAACUCGAUAAUGCGCGCACCCGAGAAACCGAACUGAUAAGGGGGAGGGGAUAAGCCGGAUGAAUUAGGCCUCUUAAACGCGGCAACGUUUAAGUAUUAUCCUUAUCUCGAGAGGUGGCUCUUCUCCCCUCUCUCUCUCUCUCCCCCUCUCUUUCUUCCUCUCUCGAGCAGGAUUCUUCUCGAAGCGAAACUUAGUAACCUUCGUCUCGUUGGAUUUUUAUUGUGGAACAUGCUCGUCUUUUCUGCUGCAUUCCUUUCGAGAGAAUUGCAAAUUCCUGUUGAGAAUGGGAAAAGAAGAGAAGAUCGAUCGAUCGGCUCCAACUUGUGAUAAUUUCGCAAUUAUUAUUAUCGUAACGAUCGAGUUUAUCGUCGGGUCCGCGCCAGUCGUUUUUAAUUUCGCGGUCGUCGUCUCUCGACUUGGCUUCGAGAAGCUUUAGAAAUUGAUCGUGUGCAUCGUGAUUGGAAACUUUGCACCGAUCGGUUGCAAACCGAUGCCAAUUUCUUCGAUCUACGCCCGAGUUUGCCGAGGCGAGACUCCAACACAGAUUCUCUUCGAAAAGUAUCGAUUUCGCCCGAAACUUUUGCCGUCUGGCCUUCUGGAUUGACAAUGGGCCAGACAUUCGGGGAAUUUCAUUCGAGGCGGGCAGAAGAAGUGGCGUUGAAAGAAUUAUCGGGUUGAUUUAUGAAGAAACACGUGGAGGGAGGGGGUCUCCCCGAUGGGUCGUCUAGGAAAAUGUGUAGCCAGCUGUGUGUGGAUAUCGCCGAGGCGCCAAGAGGAGCAUCGUAUAACGACUUCGAUAUACAUUAAUGUCUCGCUAACUGCAUAUACACGUGCAUUUUCUGCCUCCAUUCUAUUUUUCACUUAUUUUUUUUUGAAACUGCUUCAUUAAACUUUCGUAUUAUUCCGCGAUGAUAAAUAAAAAUCGAUGAUUAAUAGAGAAGAAACGUCUGGGAGGAGUAAUCCGUUGGAUCCGCAAAAUCCAAAAUAGACGUACAUACAGACGACACCACUCGUGUUAAACUUGUAAAACUCCUUCGCACGUUUUACACACUCUUAAAAGAAAAUUCUACGUACGUACGGCACGAUGCUGUUAGAUGUGCAAAUAAGUUCCUUCUCCUUCUUUUCUACUAGAGAUCAUAACUUGUGACCGAAUUCGAAUCACUUUACCGUUCGCGGUGCCAUCCGAAAGAGCGUUCUUUCGUUUCUAGAAAGAGUCGGGAUGAGAGCUCUAAAAGUUUCCAGUGCAACAAUUUCGAGCAAUAUUCGCGUCACUGCUUAUUUUUUGCAUUCCGGCCGAGGAAAUCAGAUGUUGAAGCUACUGAAAUGGUUUCUGCGCCACUGGAAGAGAACGCUGUACCUUGCAGAACGUGCAAAAAGUGAUAGCAAAGAUUCAAAGCUGGAAAUUUUAAUUUGGGAGACGACGAUCGUUCGGGUGCACCGAGAAAGUUGGAUGACGGCGAGUCAGAGGAAUCGCUCCGACUCGAAUAAGAAGAAUUGACAAUCUAUCCUGUACUAAACAAUUGGCUAAUCUUGUACCUGAUUUACGACUAGUAAAAUCUUGAAUUUGGAAAAAAGGAAGAGGAGAGGAAAGAAACGUUCGUUAAGAAUCUCGUAUCGGUAUCCAAUUUUAGAACGCUUAGCUGUAUUAGCAAUUUUGUGGAAAUAGCCGGGCGAGAUCGAUCCCCGAUCGAUAUUUAUUAAAAUAGGGGCGAAGAGGGGAAUUGGGGAGCGGUAUAUAUUAACGCGUAAUAUACGGUUAUCAGUUGGAAUGGUAUUACUGUCGAAAACCGACGGCAUUAUCGUUAUCAAGCAGGCUUUAGUAGGUGUAGGACAAGGUGUAAGGGCAUGCCGAAUGUUGUUUCCGAAAUUAACACUCCACGAAGGGAGCACGUAGCCGCGGCUACACGUUUGCUAUAGACACCGAUUAGUACUAUUCACGUGCAUUCCGCGCCGUAUACACGUGUCUGCUACGAACGUCAUUUCCAUUCAAUCGAGAUUCCAUUUCCCAGCGGGACGGCGCGGGUGUCAACCGACCUUUCGAAACAAAUCUCCUCUCUCUCUCUCUCUCUCUCUCGCGUGUACGCGCCAUUUCGCCGCGCCUCUCAUCUGCCGACCGCGCGCGCCACCGUUGCAAAACGAUCAUCCGAGGAGGCGUCGAUUAUUAACCCUGACAACUUGCCAUAAUGGCCAACGAUUAUGGCCAACCGAUACGCAGCUUCGACGCGUCGUCUAAAUACCUCGAUCGAAAUUUAUUUCUUACCCACGCGUGAAUUUCACCCACGUUCGUGGCUCGAGGAGGGAUUGAGGGAUUCGGAAAUUUGAAUUGGAAGGAGAAUCGGGGAAUAUGUUAGACGAGAUUCUAGUUUAAGAGAGACGUGAAUUGAUUGGGUGUAUUUAAAAGAAAGGAGUGCGAAAGAAUGAGGGGGAUUGAAAAGAACGGGGCGGCCUCGAGGAUAUUUCAAAGUCGAAUACGCGAUACACGCGAGGAAAAUUUCAAAAGAGACCGUGGUCGUUAAAACGACGAUGAAGUUUCGUAGUCGUUUCGUUCGGGGGAAUCGAAUUCGCAUUGUCUCCCCGAGCGGGAGCAGAAACCGACAACUUUCUCGCGUUUUCUCUUUAAAAGUAACUUUCCUUCCCUUCGAAAUUUAUCGAACGACGUGGCUCGACCGAUCACUCUCUCUCCAAACCUCGAUAUUCGUUUCUUUAGAAAAAAAAAAAGAAAAAGAAAAAAAAAAUUAUAUUACAUUAGACGAUAUGUAGAUCCAUCGUAUCCACGAAGAUUUACCUCGUAAUCCGGUAAAAGUAUGGUAAAGUAACUAAACUAAACUAAUGGUAGCGUGCCCGAUAGCGCCAAUUUCAAGGAGGCAAUAAUCGUAAACCACGGGUCCCUGUAAGUUUUCCAACCCGCCCCGCUCGUUUCGAGGAACGCAUCAAACAGGUGGGACCUUCCGUUUCGGAUUCAACCCUCGUGUAAAAGAAAAAUUAGCCUCACCCGUAUCCCCUUUAUCCUCGACUCACUUUCUUAAAAAAAAAAAAAACAGGCGAAAUUCCAUCAAGAAGUUGCCCGUUAACUUCACGUCUAGGGGAUGGUCUCUCUUUCAUGAUGAUCUUGGAGAAGUUGAUAAGCGGAUGCUCGAAGCGUUCAUCGAGGCGAGAUUGCACCCCAAGGGGGUGCACGAGUAAGUACAAAGUCGACGAAAUUAUGAUAAGUGGGAAGAAAAUCAGUCAUCGGUCGCGAAAGAGGAGGAAGCGGGGAGAAAUAAGACAGGGGAAAAAUCUAGAAGAAAUCUAGGACGAUCGUCGAUAUUCCACGUUCCACCCGUCCGGGUCGGGAAUUUCUAGAAAUUCGACGGUUUUACGUCAAUGGGAUUUUCAUCCCAUUGCCGAGGCAGGAUCAAUAAUAGAGGGGCAAGCGUCUAGACAGGGCCGCAGGGGUUGAAUUUUCGCGUUGACUGUACGCUCUACCCGACUGGCUAACACUGGUGUUAAGUCAAAGGUCUUUCGUGGCGGAUUUAUCGAAGGGUUGUCUUUCAUAGGGGCUGACCUCGACGAGUUAACCAACCUCUCUCUCGCCCGCCCUCGGGCCUUUUUCCUUCCCCGGAAAGCGGGAGGGGAACGCCACAAACGGAGUUUUCCAGCAACGAGCUCGGCCAUCGUCGUUCCCUUCGUCGCUGAGGAACAGCUGUUUCCGAGAAACCGGUUUCCCCGCUCUCUUGCCUAUUUUUACCGGGGGGGCGCCAUCGUGAUUUACUAGUUUCCAAAGUCGUAACCAGUUUCCCUGAUCUCUCUCCUUUCUGCUGACGGCCGAAGAAAACUCGGCGAAAAUGUGUUUGUUUAUUCGACUCGAGGAAUUUGAAUAUUCCUUCGCCCCAUGGAGGAGCAUCGAGAGAUAUCGAGUGUGCGGGGGAUAUAUUAUUAUAGCCGUGCAAGAAGGUCGUGACACGUCGUAUUAAGUCUCCUCGUAACGCCAUCGUGUUCAGGUGACGCUCCGCUCGGCUCGUAUAACGGGCCGAUCUAUGAAAAACGAUCCCGAGGAAUUUAUGUUUCAGCGGUUUUUAAAGCGACGCUUAAUAGCAUGAUGCACGACCCCGGCAUCGAAAUUACGUAACAAAAGUGUUCUGCCUCCGGUGUUUCAAACGACUAUCAAUUACGUUAUCUCUUCUCGACCAAAUAUUAACUAACCAAAUAUUCCCUCUGGAAUCUUUCUUUAAAAUCGAUCCAACGAAUUGACAAAUCGAUGUAUACUGUUCUCGAACGAUCCGUGUAUCGAAAAUAAAUCUCUGCAUAAGUUUCCGCUCACGAGACAACGAAUCGGCCGAUAUUUCCUUACCGUGGAAACGUGUACGAUUAUAUAUCGUAUACACAGGAGGCGAAUCGCAAGAUUGAACAACAUCGAGGUCGCGAUACCGAUGCGGUCGCCACGAUAAAACGCAACCCUGCCUAGCAGGGGAUCGUCUGCGCCGACAACGAACCUUCCUUCCUUCCUUCGUCCUCGAACGAAACGGGACUCGCGUGCACGCGUGUCGUCGACCAGAUUCCUUCCUCCAGAAGAGGGAGGAAUCCGGUGAUCGGAAUCGCGUACAACGACCGGCUGCUUUACGAGCGACUUCCUCCUCGUGUUUACGAGCAGUUCCGCCGUAAAUACGACUGAAUAUAGACACGCGACGAUGCGUCUCUCGUUCGAUAUACGAGGGGUCAACCGGGCGACGGAAAGCUCGCGAUCCUGCACACCCGGUUACCGGAAGUAAGGGUAUUGUAGCCAUCUCCUCCUCGAGUUAUAAAACGAAGAGUGUUUUAUCGGGAGGCACUUUUGUCGAACGUUGACGGAAUAUAAAAAGAGGAAAAAGACUAUGGUGGGACGAUUCGUUGAAAUUGUUUCGACGAACGUUUUAUUAGUUGCGAGAAGGGGUCGAGUCUCGGUCUACCAGGGAGAUGAUAGAAUCGACGUAUUUCACGCAGCCGUUUCUUUCUUUUCUAUUAUUCAUAAUCGAUAUUCUGGCGGAAAUGACGUGCAUCUCGUUGGAUCCAUUCCGUACACACGCCUGCCCUCCCAAUAUGUAUCGGGUUAGCCAAGGUCGGAGGAUGGUCGGCGAAUAGAUCGACGGGAUAGAUCGGCCGCGAGAAAAUUCGCAGUGUAUUCCCGGUGCAAAAAAAAAAGGGACGCAAUUUAGAUGCAAAUUGCAAUCGUAUCGAUGCCUCGAUCGCGAUGCCAGGGCCCUCGAAACCGAUCCACCGUUGUUUUCGUCGAUCCCCCGUCGAUAACUUUUUCCCUUUUCCCCCCUCCCCUUCCGUUCCGCUCUCGAAACGAAGGAUCCUCGCCUUACGAGCGAGCGUAAACUUUUAAACGUAUCCCAGUAUUCAAAUCGCGCCUCCGUAACCGGUGGUUACUUUAACAGCGACGAGGAGAGAUAGCGCUGGUCCGCGGAGUCUCGAACGACUCGGAUGAAGGGAACGACGGAAGGUUUCCACCAUCCACGCCCCCCUUCCUCUCGCCCUCUUUUUCGCCCUUCGAUCCUCCUCUGCUUUUCUCAUCCGCCGCUGGCAAAUAGCUCGUUGGUCCUUUUGGCGUGCGUUCCUGGAGGAAGAGGAGAGGAAAACAUUCACCGGGAAGCGCAUUUUAAAUUCAAACGAGGCCCGAUUACGCCGUAUUCGACCAACGCCCGCUGGAUUACGCGGGUCCCCGACUUUCCUGGGGCGAAACACGGACAACACAGUCUCCUCCUCCUCCUCCUCUUCUUCUUCUUCUUCUUUUUCUCCGUUUCUGCUCGACUUUCCCUCUUCACUCGAGUGGUCCAGGCGACCGGCUAAAAUCGUACGGGUAAUAAUAACGGAAGAGCGGUGACGCGAGAUCCGUGUAGCAAUCGCGCGAUUCGUAUGGCGUUAUAUAUACGUAUAGCUUUCGGUUUCGAGCGGUUCGAGGACCGGUUCUUGUCCAUGGAACGACUGGCAAAGACUACCGCGACGGAGAUGAGUGGAUGUAAAAGGGUCGACGAAGAGGCUGACGAGAGGAUCUUGAAAAACCUACAGCAUUUCUCCUUCCUUCCUUCCUUCCUUCCUUCCUUCCUUCCACCUUCUCGGGAUUCUUUUCUCCUCGAUGGCACCCCUCCACACUCCCCUUGGAUUCGCUCGAUCGAAGAAAUACACUCGUCGAGUCUCUUUCCUGUGGUCUUUGAUGGAUGAUUGUUGGAAAAAAGAGAGAGAGAGAGAGAGAGAGAGGAGAAGGAGAAAGAAAAUUUUUAUCAUCCCGUUGCACGAUUGUAAAUAGCGAAGUCAUAGAACGGAGUGGAACGCUUUAAACGCCGAUCUCGCGGAAAGCGGAUUUUACAGCGAGGCAUUUUACUCGCUGUAAAAUAAGCCACAUUAAAAGGUCGAAGGGCUUUGGUUCGAUGGCCGUGCCGCGAGACGAAAAAGCUUGCAAGGUGGGUUGGAACGGAUUAAUCGGAAGUGCUUUUAGCAAGAAUAAACUAAACGAGUUCGAAGAGGGGGAGAGGAGAGGGGUUGCGUAUACCUCGAUGACGACGAUGUUCGACGAACGCUCGGCGAGGCGACCCGGCCGAAACCCGGGCGAAUGAAAAAAACUUUGCUCGGUUUGAAUCCACGGUAUCAAACGCAGCUCGCCCGAUUACACGGUCGUAAGAAGCGGCCGUUCCAAGCUGGCUAGGUGGAGAUCCCAUUGAAAGCGGUGCGAUUUCAUCUCAAUUAACCGAGUAGACCUGCAACGUAUCACGCCUUCCGGGAUCAAGAUCGUGGCAACGGCCGUAGCGUGGUUUCCGGGCGUGGCCUUCAUCUUCCCGAUUGAUAAACGCCGUUCCCCGCGCGUUUCAAUUAACGAAAUGCCGUUGCACGGCGUGGCUCUUUCUCGUCCAUUGUGCGAGAAGGGAAGAGAGAGGGAGAGACACGAAAGGAAAGGAGGAAGGAAAGGAAAUACGCGCGAAAAGAAAGAAAGAAA